AUUGAACGCUGGCGGCAGGCCUAACACAUGCAAGUCGAGCGGAUGAAGGGAGCUUGCUCCUGGAUUCAGCGGCGGACGGGUGAGUAAUGCCUAGGAAUCUGCCUGGUAGUGGGGGAUAACGUCCGGAAACGGGCGCUAAUACCGCAUACGUCCUGAGGGAGAAAGUGGGGGAUCUUCGGACCUCACGCUAUCAUAUGAGCCUAGGUCGGAUUAGCUAGUUGGUGGGGUAAAGGCCUACCAAGGCGACGAACCGUAACUGGUCUGAGAGGAUGAUCAGUCACACUGGAACUGAGAAACGGUCCAGACUCCUACGGGAGGCAGCAGUGGGGAAUAUUGGACGAUGGGCGAAAGCCUGAUCCAGCCAUGCCGCGUGUGUGAAGAAGGUCUUCUGAUUGUAGAGCACUUUAAGUUGGGAGGAAGGGCAGUAAGUUAAUACCUUACUGUUUUGACGUUACCAACAGAAUAAGCACCGGCUAACUUCGUG
rnacentral:rRNA from 1 species